rnacentral:rRNA from 1 species
AGACGAACCGUGCGAACGUUAUUCGGAAUCACUGGGCUUAAAGAGUGCGUAGGCGGUCCAGAUAGUUGGAGGUGAAAGCCCAGGGCUCAACCUUGGAAUUGCGUAUGAAACUGAGAGACUAGAGUUUAGUAGAGGGAAGUGGAAUUUCCGGUGUAGCGGUGAAAUGCGUAGAUAUCGGAAGGAACACCAGUGGCGAAGGCGACUUCCUGGACUGAUACUGACACUGAGGCACGAAAGCGUGGGGAGCGAACAGGAUUAGAUACCCCAGUAGUCC